GUACAGCUGCAGAGGAGGAAGAGGAGAUCCAGUUUUCUACACUGAAACCAGCACAAAGGUCACCAUUCAGGAAACUGUAGCUCGGUCCAAUCCUGACAGCUGUCCAUUUCCUGUGCUGUUGAUCAUUGGACCAAUUAUUGGAGUCAUUCUCAUUAUUCUCCUGCUCUUGUUGUGGCGCUACAGACGGUCCAAAGAUUUAAGCUGUAUCAGAUUAAUUCCAUCAGAGAGCAGCAAUCAAACCUCAGCCACCAAUCAUGGAGGGACCCAGACUGAUAGACCCGUUUACUGCUCUCUGCUUUAUGGUAACACUUCCCUUUAUGAGACUAUCCAACCCAUCAGAACUUCUUGAAAUGAUUUCAGUGCUGACUAAAAUUCACAACCAGAACAAAGUAAAGAACAACAUAAAGGAAAGGGGAGUCCUGCAGCGCCAGAUGCAACAGUGAAGGCUAGAUGCUGUCAUGGUUUAUUCUGCUGUAUAUUCCAUGAGAUAAAUGCUGUUAGGUGGAGUGUGUUUAUUUUCUCGCAUAAUAAUAAAAUG